rnacentral:rRNA from 1 species
ACUCCUACGGGAGGCAGCAGUGGGGAAUAUUGCACAAUGGGGGAAACCCUAAUGCAGCCAUGCCGCGUGUGUGAAGAAGGCCUUCGGGUUGUAAAGCACUUUCAGUAGGGAGGAAGGUAGUGUAGUUAACACCUGCAUUAUUUGACGUUACCUACAGAAGAAGCACCGGCUAACUCCGUGCCAGCAGCCGCGGUAAUACGGAGGUGCGAGCGUUAAUCGGAAUUACUGGGCGUAAAGCGCAUGCAGGCGGCCUGUUAAGUCAGAUGUGAAAGCCCGGGGCUUAACCUCGGAAUUGCAUUUGAAACUGGCAGGCUAGAGUCUGUAGAGGGGUAGAAUUUCAGGUGUAGCGGUGAAAUGCGUAGAGAUCUGAAGGAAUACCAGUGGCGAAGGCGGCCCCUGGACAAAGACUGACGCUCAGAUGCGAAAGCGUGGGAGCAAACAGGAUUAGAUACCCCGUGGUAGACUGUCA